UUCUCUGUAUAUAGUUAAAUCUUUAUAACAGAUUUCGCUUUAAGAAGUUUAUAUCUCGGGUAGCAAUUUUUAAGAGUAAUUACUUAAUUAGCUUAAUACCCGUAGCCAUGAUCGAGAGAUUUAUUGGUCACAGUGUGGCCUGAACAAAGCCCACGGUUUUUACUACAGCAGUGAGGAAUAUUGGUCAAUAGCCUAACGGCUGAACCAGCAAUUUGGUAGAAUGUACAGCGAAAGCUGGUUAUAUAAUAUAUAUAACUUGGAGUCUCUCUUGUAAAAUUCUGAGUAGAUUUAUGAUAAUGACAUUUUCUACUCAUAUGUCUUGACCAAAUCACGUGCCAGCAGUCGCGGUAAUACGUGGAAGACUAGUGUUAUUCAUUUUUAACAGGUUUAAAGGGUACCUAGACGGUUUAUCAAGCCCCACUAAAGGGUACUAAUGAACUAGAGUUUUAUAUAAGAGGGGGUGUACUAAAGAGUGUAGAGAUGAAAUUUUGUGAUACCUUUAUUGGAACAGGCAACGGCGAAAGCAACCCUUUAUGUAAAAACUGACGUUGAAGGACGAAGGCUCAGUACACCAACAGGAUUCGAUACCCCAGCAGUCUGAGCAGACAAUGAUGAAUGUCAUAUAUAAGAAUAAUAUUUUUUUUUAUAUAAAUGAAAGUGUAAGCAUUCCACCUCAAGAGUAAUGUGGCAACGCAGAAACUGAAAUCAUUAGACCGUUUCUGAAACCAGUAGUGAAGUAUGUUGUUUAAUUAGAUGACCCACAAAGAACCUUACCACAACUUGAAUAUUUUUAUACAAGCGUUGCACGGCUGUCUUCAGUUAAUGUCGUGAGAUUUUGGUUAGCUCCAUAAAAUUAACGUGAACCCUUACUUUAUUUUUUAUUGAAAUCUAUAGACAUUUAUAUGCUAUAGAAAUAUUAAUGUCUUUUCAUUCAUUAAUAUUCAUUAGUUAAAGUUGUUAACCGCUAUAUUGG
rnacentral:rRNA from 1 species